UCUGGCUAUGAUGACACACUUGCCCUCUCUGAGAACAGUGGUUGCUAAUGAGAGAAGCUUUACAUACUCAGCAGAGCUGAGCCAGA
rnacentral:snoRNA from 1 species